UGCAGUCGAACGCUUGCUUUCCUCCCGAGUGCUUGCACUCAAUUGGAAAGAGGAGUGGCGGACGGGUGAGUAACACGUGGGUAACCUACCCAUCAGAGGGGGAUAACACUUGGAAACAGGUGCUAAUACCGCAUAACAGUUUAUGCCGCAUGGCAUAAGAGUGAAAGGCGCUUUCGGGUGUCGCUGAUGGAUGGACCCGCGGUGCAUUAGCUAGUUGGUGAGGUAACGGCUCACCAAGGCCACGAUGCAUAGCCGACCUGAGAGGGUGAUCGGCCACACUGGGACUGAGACACGGCCCAGACUCCUACGGGAGGCAGCAGUAGGGAAUCUUCGGCAAUGGACGAAAGUCUGACCGAGCAACGCCGCGUGAGUGAAGAAGGUUUUCGGAUCGUAAAACUCUGUUGUUAGAGAAGAACAAGGACGUUAGUAACUGAACGUCCCCUGACGGUAUCUAACCAGAAAGCCACGGCUAACUACGUGCCAGCAGCCGCGGUAAUACGUAGGUGGCAAGCGUUGUCCGGAUUUAUUGGGCGUAAAGCGAGCGCAGGCGGUUUCUUAAGUCUGAUGUGAAAGCCCCCGGCUCAACCGGGGAGGGUCAUUGGAAACUGGGAGACUUGAGUGCAGAA
rnacentral:rRNA from 1 species